rnacentral:rRNA from 1 species
UACGUAGGUGGCAAGCGUUGUCCGGAUUUAUUGGGCGUAAAGCGCGCGCAGGCGGUCUGUCGCGUCCGAGGUGAAAUCUCCCGGCUCAACUGGGAGGGGUCUUCGGAUACGGGCAGACUAGAGGAGAGCAGAGGUGAGCGGAAUUCUCGGUGUAGUGGUGAAAUGCGUAGAUAUCGAGAGGAACACCAGUGGCGAAGGCGGCUCACUGGGCUCCACCUGACGCUGAGGCGCGAAAGCGUGGGGAGCGAACCGG